UAUUACGAGUCACCAUGGCAACAGGACAACAAAAGACGUCCGAAAAUGGAUAUGACCUCAAGCAUAUAGUGACUACGAGUCUAUAUUCGGUAGAAAAAGCAACACGGCUGCAGCGGCGAAAGAGAAAGAAUUAGCUUGGAAGAAAAUAGCUGCUCGAGUCAAUGCCCAACAGAAAGAAGGCAGAGGCUAGAACAACUGGUGGAGGACCUUCACCUCCACCACUGACCCAUGCAGAGGAGAAGGCCCUCGGCAUGAACACUGGAAAGCAGAGGCUGAAGGAAUUCCUGGAGGGAGUUCAUCAGAACCAGUCACUCCCCAGCAUACAAGUGCAUUUGUAAAAUAUUCUGAUAGUAAUAUAUGAAUCCUCCUGUCACAACAGAAACCCAGGAUGUUACUGUGAAAGAACAGCAGGAGGAGGGUCCGUCACAUUCUGCUGCACAGAUGCACACAGUCCAGUGAUGUUUAGUAAAUGCCAGAGUUCAAUUCUGUAAGAGUAAUGAGGAACUAUGUCUUGUAACUCUAAAUCUUCUGUAUUUUAAGUUACCGGUUAUUGAGUUGUAUAUACUAAAUCCCGAGGAAAUGUUAUACAUGUACCACAAAAUUGAAAAGACAGAUCUAGAAAUUGAAAUUCCCAAACACAAGCUGGAGAUGAGUGUAUAGUUAAAGGUGAAUUGUAUGAAUUAUUGGAAGAAUCAUAAAAUCUAACAAUUGCCUUUGUAUUUGUAGGAAAUGAAAAAAAAAACAAAUGAAUUAUGAUUUGCAUUUAUUCAGUUUCUUUUAUUGGUGGUGAUGGUUGAUUAAGACAUUACAGCAAAUCACAUCUCUGACUGUCCAUCCACUGUGCAGAUUACCAUGAUGGAAGGAGUCUUCCUCAGGGUCCUGUAUUUGUGGGCCUGCUCCCAUGAGUGUGAGUGUGUCAAGAACACACGGAUGAGGACCCAAAUGCACAGCGCAACACAGCUUGACGGUGGUAAAAGGAUAGUUUAUUCCAGGUUACAGGGUCCAGAUCAGGCAGAGUCAUACACGAGAGGUUAUGCAGGUUUAAACAAGGUCAGGCGGAGACAGCGCCAGGGACAGGCAAGGUUCGUACAUGAGGGGCAGGUUAACAAUGCCAAAUCGUGUGUGGAAUCGUGGUCAGGCAGCCAGACAAGGACGGUAACAUGCAGAGCAGAAGACCAGGGCAGACAAGACAGGCAGGGAUUAGGCAGGCUCGGAAUCAGUGGUCAAAAAACAGGGUACACGAUACACGACAGGACUAGAUCAACGAACGCUGGAAAGUGGUGAUAACACGCAACAAUCUGGCAAAUUACAAGGGUGAGCGGUGGAGCCUAAAUACGAAGUGGACUGAUAGCAGAUGAGGUGCAGGUGUGGAUAAUGCGAACCAGUACAGACAGGGAACAGCUGAUGAUGUGACGUUAGCAGGAAGUCCUUUCAACAUAAAGCAGGAACAGGCAUCAGAAACAAGAGACAAGAAACCAGAUCGUGACAGAGUGCAUGCAUUGAAAUAAGUGUAUAGGACAUCCAUGUACUUACCCCAGUGCAGCCUGUUAUUUAGGGUUGACUCACAAUAUAUUCAUGAGUUCACGUUUAUGAUAUGUGCAGCAUCACAUUUGAUCUUGGUGGUGUAAACAAUGAUACGUCAGUGACCAUUCGAAAGAGUAGUCAGUGCACCUGCACAUUUAUUAGUUUAUUUCAGGUCACAGCAAGAUGUUAUUAAUUCAUCAUAAUUUUUCAGAUUAGCCUCACUGAAACGCAUUAAAUACCACAUACCUGCAAUCCUGUGAAACUCCUCUUUAAUGGCUUUAAGGAGUUUGUGUCAAGGAAAGCGCUUGAGGUCGAGCUUUUCUACAUACAGUGCCUUUACUAACGUGCUCAGCAUCUCCACUGUUAUAAAGAAAACUACCAUUUGCAGGUGAUGUGUUUGAUGUACAGUAUGGGUGGAUAAGAUUAUUGACAUAUGUCAUGGAGUCUCAAAAAAAACGGUACCGCUAAAAUAAAUAUGCACGGCGAUAUUACAGAAAAUUAACUCGUGGCGUCAAAAUCCUCUCGCGGCGUAAAUGCAAUGCCGUGUGAAUUAAUACAUCGUCCUCAUCUACAGGAUCUUGUAGGGAAGUGCCUGUUUCUAGAGGAUUUUGCUUCCUGCGCGAAGAAAACAGGUGAAAUCUAUGAAUGUACUGAAAGAUUAAACGAGGUAUUUAAACACUGUUCACUUUAAAAAGUGGCGGGGACCGAAGGAAACUCUGGGUUUCCCAAAUAAAACCUGCUCCCGACCAGGUUAGGUUCACAGAGUAAGUUGCCAUAGUAACUGACUCUGAGUUUCGAUUACCUCGCUUCUUGAAACGGGUUUAAACUUACCCCGCUUUACGGGUUUAAGUAACCCCGCUUUCUGAAACCGAAAACUCUGAGUUUUCCUUAUUUCGGGGUUAACAAACUCAGAGUUUCCACAAAACCUCCUUCUUGAAACAGGCCCCAGGAAACACAAUGACAUUAACAAGAAACACAACAACAUUAACAAAAAACACGAUGACAUUAACAGAAAAGACAACAACAUUUAAACAUUAUGGAAAGGGUAGGGACCGGGUCUUGUUUCUGAUUCUGAAGCUAAGACCGUCUAAUUUUCACUUCCUGUUUUUUACCUGCAAGCUAAAAACAGGGCUAUGAUGCGCUUAUUAAUUUAUUAAGGGCUAUAUAACAAAGGAUUUUAUCGGAGAUCGAUAGAAACGUUGCUGCCAUUUACAGCUGCCUGGAGACCGAAUAACAUGGUUGGUUCUUGGAUAGAAACCUAAAACAGGCUCCAUGUUAAAACUGUGUUUAAAUGCUUAGUGAACUGAAUCCGCAGGUAUUUAACUCACGGAUCUUUUGGUAGACAGACUUACUAUUUAAUGAGGCCAAACUAAGUACUGUACUGUAUUAUAUAUUAAGCUGAAACUUGUCUAAUUGCCAACCACCUUGUUCGGUAGCCAAACAGCUGUUCAGGUCUGCAAAGUCCUGAUAUGAUCGCUCUUCCCACACUUAUGAAAGAGUAGACUCCGUCCCACUGAGUCCUGCUUCUUUCAGUUUUCUUUCAGUUUAUAAAUAGCCAUCAAUUUUCUUCUUUAACAUUCAGUUAAAUUUGAAUUACUGCACAGCUAAAUCUAGGCUUUGAAAUUAACUCAGUUCAGUUUUACUUUAUCUUACAUGUCAAUGUGAGACCACUGAACAAACUGUAGAGCUGAGUUGCAGUAACUUCUUUCCUGUGGAGUUGAAUUUCCUCUGCCAUACAGUUAAUAUUCAAUAUUUAUAACUUGAGUAUCACUCUUUAUUAGUGUAGUGCCUUAGACUGAGUUAAUAAAAUACAAACAACUACAGCAUUGAUAUUCCUCUAUGUAAUCUUUACUUACAGUAUAACAGAAUAGUAAUAGUUUAAAGGUCCCUGCACAUGCAAAAUUCACUUUUUGGACAGUCUGGUACAUUUAUAUGACUCUCUGGUUCAUGUGGAGACACUCCUGGUGUGUUAGACGUACGCCCCCUACUUAUUUCACAUUUUGAGAGUUUAUCCAAUCCGGACCAUCGGUUUCAAAUUUGGCGGACUGCGUACAUCUGCAUUCUAUUAACCACUCACAGAACCAGCUUAGGCACCAAAAUUUACAUGCAACAUUGCGUUUCAGUCACUCAUUGUGCACUCUAGCAUAGUAGGUAGCGGUAAUGCACCUUUUAUUUGGUUGCCACCCACUAUUUAGAAGACAAAAGAAGAAGAAGUCACUUACUGUGACACAAAUUGACAUAGGGCCAUUAGGGUUCCGAAGGUGCUCCGUUGUUGGUUGUUCCAACCAGCAUUGCAGCCUUUUCAUUUUACCAGCGGAGCUCUUGUAAAUGGACCUGUGCCAGCACCGCUGCCUAAAUGCUUCUUUGUGUGUGGACACCAUUUCACCUCUGUCUGCUUUGAAAACGAGGGUAUAUUUAUUACAGGGCUUGAGGUUGAAGAAGGGCUCUGUUCCUACAAGACGUGAUCCACUUGCUACUAGCACUAGCCUCCACAUGACGUUCAGUACAACUUGGGUUUGGCUGUUAUAGUAAGUUGUGAAAGUCAGCUGUGUUUCUAAUUACUACAGAGCCUGUCGUGUGUAUGUCGUAGCCCAAGUAGACCUGUGAAUUUGGGUUAUGGCAAGGUCUAUCUAAGUCUAACAUGUAUGUUGUUGCUGUCUUCUCGUAAGUGUUGCUUAUCUAGUCAACUAACUGUAAAAAUGACAUUGUUUUUUUUUAUACAGGCUGGCGCAUCCCAGCUACCGAGAGGCAGUGAAAGAGGUUGCUUCUCAAACAAGACAUGCCGCUGCAGGCUGGAGUUGUUGGUCACCUCACCUUUGUUGGCCAAUAGGCAGUUUUAUUUGACAGAGAUUUUGGCUACUAAAAAUAAACCAAUUUAGAACUGUGUCUAUGCAAAAUUACCCUACAUUACUGGAAACAGGUAUUUAGACUGACAAAAUAGGAACAUAGUAGUUCAGAAGUCAGCUCUGUCCUGGGCCAUGUCCUGUCCUGGGACGCAAUACAGAAGGUGGGUGACAGAAGGGUCCUGGCAAACCUGACAUCUAUUUUGGACCUUGACUUUCACCUGGGGAGCAGCUUCAGACCUAUCCACCCUUGCUGUAUGAAGGAGAUCUUUGUUUUUUGCUGCAAUUAGACUGUACAAUAAGCAAUCUUAAAUCACCUACCUGUACAUCACACUCACUCACUAGAAUCAGUUGUAAAACUAGCCAUUAUAACCAGCUUUCUUUGUUGGAUUAUAUUAUCAGCUCUUCCUUUUGUUUCUGCAAUCAAAGCAGGUGAAGCAAUUUCCCUCUGGGAAGUUUUUAAAACUCGUAUAGAAGAGGGCUCGUUUCUAUCUUGGUGAAGAACAGAGAGGUCUGAGGAUCACAAAUAACAAGACAAAAAUAAUAAUAAUUCUAUGCAUUCAUUUUUGUGUUCCAUCCAUUAGGCUACUGUAGCAACAUGUUUUUUAACAGUAACUUUUUUGUGUCAGCACUAUGAUGCAUACAUUUUGUUUGCUAAUCUACAGCAUUACAACACAACAUUAUGUAUAGAUGGUGACACUUUAAUGAUUACAGAUAAAUAUGUCUAGUCUACCCACUGUGUGGUGUAAGUGUCACAUGUCUGAGCAGUCAGUCAGUUCAGGUUCAUUGAGAAAUAUUUGUAUUUUUGUGUAAACAAAAACAUUACAUUCACUUACUUUCCUGUGUGUAGAUGACAAAACACCUGUUUGUUGGAUGGUCAGGAAAUACAUCCUCAUGAUGCUGGACUAUAAACGUAAAAGUUAAAUUUUUGUUAAAGUUAGCUAACUUUCCACAGGUACAAAGAAGUAACCUUCACCCAUAACGUUAGCUGUGUGUGCGUCUGAACAUGGAUAUGCAGACACAUGUUGUAGCUUCCUCCAAGUUAUUCACAGACACAAGAUGUCACAAGGCAUAAACAGUUGCAGCACUAUGCAUAAACAUAACCCAAUAUAUUGGUGUGUGUAAUGGAAAAAUUGUGCCUUUGUGCUAUUUCUUAUCCAACACAGCCGUCAUGUGCUGGUAAGUUGCAAUACUGAACUGAACAUUCUUACACAAACAACUAAUCUCUUGUGCCCUGUCAUAUAUCAAGUCUAAACAUCUGAUGUUUCAUUUGACUGACUAAUAGCUUAUGAUAUAUGUUGGUCGUUUACACCCGAACUCUGGCUCCAUCCUAUCUGACUCCCCACCAGACCCAGGACUGUUAAAGCGAAUGCAUCUUGUCUUCGAAGCUUGGUGUUCCUUCCUUUGGAUAACAAGACUGAUGAUGCAGUGAAAAUGUAAACAUUCUCACUCACGGCGAGAUAAGGUGGCACAAACAAUUCUAUUGGUGCAGAGAGACAUUCCACCAGAGCCAGAGAAAGGGGUUAAAAGGCAGAGACAACUUGAGGAUCGUGGGCUCUUUGCAUCACACCUUCGUGCUGUAUGCACUGAUCUCCCCAGCUGGUUUUUGGUUUGUUGAUGUGCACGAUCAACAUCCAUGCUUUUGAUUUGCUUUCCCCAUUAUUUUUAUUUUCCUUUAUUUUUAUAAUAAAUCACACAAAAGACAACUCUGUCAUCUGCCUCAGUACAGUAAAGUAGGUACAGUGUCAGUACAGUAAAUAUGCUUCAUCUAAAGCAAAAUGUUUUAUCUGGUGAAAGCAUUAAUUUUCAAAAAAAAACAAUUGAAAUAAUGAUUUUCAGAUGUCCCGGGUCGAAUCUCGGUGGGAGCAGAAGUAAUUACUGAACAA